AAAAUGUUUGAUGUUUGCAGAGGAUUUUUGAAAUUUUGGAGACUCAUAAAAUUAUACGAGUACGAGGCGUUGAUUAAAGAGCUAUAUGAAGGAGGAAUAAUGCAACUUAAUGACCCAACAACAACGCAAACGAAGAAGGAUUCAUUUCGGUGGCUUGCUGCUGUUUUUUUAUGAGGCGCUUUGGCCUCGAAGGCGAUUUGAACCCACCCAUUUUGGGACUACUGUGCGUGGCCGGGCCCGAUUAUUAUAAGCGUGUGUCAGUCAGUCAGUCAGUUAGUCUCUUUGUCUUACUGUCUGACUGUUGUGUGAGUAAACAGGAGCAGAAGCAAAGGCAGCAGCAGCAGCAGCAGCAGAUCCCAGGAUCCUUUUCGACUGACACCCAAGAGUCAUAAAACUAAACUACAAUACGCGCAUAUAUGUUCAUACGUAUAUAAACUGUGGGUCUAAGGGGUGGGUUGGGUUAAACAGCCCCUUGGACUUCGGUUUUGGGCCCUCUAAGGAUUAUUAUCAGGCAACAGCCCAAGGAGACGACGGCCACCAACCUAUCUAGAAUUCCCAUUUUGAGCGACAGUUAUUAGUUGUCAUAAAGUUGAAAAUUUAUGUUCGAAAUUUCCUCGCACCGGGGCCAGAGAAAUGGGCGAGAGAUCGCUUCCAGCCAAAUGGUGUGUUAAUAAUGAAAACUAUUUUCCAACCAAACUGCGGGAAAAGGUGUAAAAUUUUAUAAAAAGAAAACACACACACAAAAUUAACCAAAACCUUAAAGAAAUCAGGAGCGGAUCUACGAGUGUUAAAAAGAAUGAAAAUUCCAAUCAAGAAAUAUUCAUAAAAUGUAUAUAUAUUCUAAGAAAGCAGGGCCAGAUUUUAAACUGGCUUUCUGUGUUUUAAACUCCUUUUAAAUGUGGAUUGAUAGAAAUAUUUAAAGAUAGAUUUUUCCUCCAUAACUUACCCUUUGAUCCGCUCCUGUAUAGUGUCUCUUAAAAGUGCACUGAACUCAUAUAAUCCAAAACUGAUAGCAAAAA